rnacentral:tRNA from 1 species
AGUAAGAUCAGCUAAACAAGCUUCUGGGCCCAUACCCCAAACAUGAAGGUUAAACCCCUUCUUUUACUA